rnacentral:rRNA from 1 species
UACGUAGGGUGCAAGCGUUGUCCGGAAUUAUUGGGCGUAAAGAGCUCGUAGGCGGUCUGUCGCGUCGGCUGUGAAAUCCCGAGGCUCAACCUCGGGUCUGCAGUCGAUACGGGCAAACUGGAGUGUUGCAGGGGAGACUGGAAUUCCUGGUGUAGCGGUGAAAUGCGCAGAUAUCGGGAGGAACAUCAGUGGCGAAGGCGGCCUUCUGGUCCAGUACUGACACUCAAGUGCGAAAGCGUGGGGAGCAAACAGG